AUUGAACGCUGGCGGCAGGCCUAACACAUGCAAGUCGAACGGUAGCACAGAGAGCUUGCUCUCGGGUGACGAGUGGCGGACGGGUGAGUAAUGUCUGGGAAACUGCCUGAUGGAGGGGGAUAACUACUGGAAACGGUAGCUAAUACCGCAUAAUGUCGCAAGACCAAAGAGGGGGACCUUCGGGCCUCUUGCCAUCGGAUGUGCCCAGAUGGGAUUAGCUAGUAGGUGGGGUAAUGGCUCACCUAGGCGACGAUCCCUAGCUGGUCUGAGAGGAUGACCAGCCACACUGGAACUGAGGCACGGUCCAGACUCCUACGGGAGGCAGCAGUGGGGAAUAUUGCACAAUGGGCGCAAGCCUGAUGCGGCCAUGCCGCGUGUAUGAAGAAGGCCUUCGGGUUGUAAAGUACUUUCAGCGGGGAGGAAGGGGUUGAGUUUAAUACGCUCAAUCAUUGACGUUACCCGCAGAAGAAGCACCGGCUAACUCCGUGCCAGCCGCCGCAGUAAUAC
rnacentral:rRNA from 1 species